rnacentral:rRNA from 1 species
AGUCACUGACAUUAGAUACCCGGGUAGUCCAGGAUGUAAACGCUGCAGACUUGGUGUUGGAAGCCCUUUGGGGGCAUUCAGUGCCGGAGAGAAGUUGUUAAGUCUGCUACUUGGGGAGUACGUCCGCAAGGAUGAAACUUAAAGGAAUUGGCGGGGGAGCACCGCAACGGGAGGAGCGUGCGGUUUAAUUGGAUUCAACACCGUAAAACUCACCAGGGAAGACUGUUACAUGAAGGCCGAGAUGAAGACUCUGCUAGAUUUUCAG